UAUGGACCAAGACACACUUGACUUAUAUGUAUUGAUUAAGAUGAAUGAAGUUUGAACGAUGUGAUACUUUCUCUGCACCUUUUGAGAUAAUGAGGCACAACCUAAACUGUUCCCAAAUGGCUUUCAUGGAUUACUGUGUAUGAAGACUAAACACACUUCAUGGUUUUUCCCUUUACAGAUGGAAAAAUAGAGAAAAUGACUCUGCAAAGCUGCAGCAAGAAGGAAAAGGAAGGCAGCCUGCAGUGCCUGGCUCGGAAGAAGGAUGCCACCCUCCUGAGGAGCAAGAAGAUGAGAAGCUGCUGCAAAGGCAGUGGUGGUCCCAGCCAUGAGGUUCUCCGUGGGACCUCAGACCGCUUCCAGGAGACAGAAUCAACAUAGGAGGAAUGCAGGAGGUCAGAGCCCAACCUCAGACAGGGGUUGCCCUAACAUGCCUCCUGUCUUCUCACAAAGACGGAGAGGAGUGAAGGACAGAAGAAAAUGGGGAGGCACAUGGGGGGAUUAAGAUGAUGUGCUCGGGAAUAAAAUUUUCCCGAGCAGAAGAUGAGGCCCAAAAAAGAGAGAAAAAUGGUAAUUAAAAUGUGAAAAGCAGAACUAAUUAUGACAGUAUCUCACCUCCAAACCCAACUCCGGUGACUUUUGUCUAAGCUUAUGGCUAAUAUUCAUUUAAAGGAAAAUCCCUAGGGAAGUAAACAGCCAAAAAGACAGCUUCCAGGAAGUAAGUGUCUCUCGUCCAUAGGGGAUCUGGCAUCUGGGUUUCUCUCAUUCUUGAUCACUGGCAGGUUUUCUAGUUGCCACCAAGCCAACUGCUGCCCAUUGACACCCCACCUUCUCUUUGCCUUCAUCCUGUUAGUAUUUCUCUUUAUUUCUUUUAACCCUGCACAUUUGUCCUAAAUUUGAAGCUCAAGAUUCAUUUUUAAACAAAUGACCUGCCACUACAGCAUGCAAUUUUUAUAAAUGUCUGCCCAGCACUAACAGCACCAAGUAAUAAGAUUCAAAUCCCCAAAGCAACAUUAUUCUGCCAACCCCUCCCUUUCCCCCAGACUUACCAGAGUGUGGGACGUCUGCCAGGGAAAUACAAU
ensembl:lncRNA